GUGGGUAGUUACGUGGUGUACGCACAUGCCCCUUGGCCGCCAUUUGUCUCUUCGGCCUGGAAUUAUCAAGAUUCCCUAAGGUUGGGGCCAGCCCGGCCAGCCCUGAUAGCACCCAUGGGUUUUGCCCCCCUGGCAGUGAAGCAUCAACCUUUGAGGACCACCACUUGUGAUAGACAUUGCUCAUUGGUUGGGCAUACCAAGGCUGCCUCAGUGUAGGAGACACAGCUCCCAUGGCACUAUGGCAGAGACCUGGCACAUCCACGGUCUUCCCUGGCAGGUCUUCUGAAGGUCUUCCUGAAAGCAUCCCUGGUGAUCUGUGAGCCCUGGUCGUGUUGCCCGCCUUCUUCCUGUGGGUCUUGCUGGAUGCUCAUUGUCCCUGUGAGCCGAGGCCCUGGAGGCUUCAGAUUUAGGUGAAGUUGCCACGUAUGACUGUCCAUCAGCCAGGAGAUGAACCCCCACCCGUGAGGCAGUGACUCAAGGUGCAAGGGAGUCCGGCAAGAAGUGUGGCGCACCCAGUUGCUGCCACUGCUUUUUGGAUCACCCAGCACGGUCUUCUGAAGUCUUCCUGAAAGCAUCCCUGGUGAUCUGUGAGCCCUUGGUCGUGUUGCCCGCCUUCUUCCUGUGGGUCUUGCUGGAUGCUCAUUGUCCCUGUGAGCCGAGGCCCUGGAGGCUUCAGAUUUAG
rnacentral:lncRNA from 1 species